rnacentral:rRNA from 1 species
CCCUGCCAUUUGUACACACCGCCCGUCGCUACUACCGAUUGAAUGGCUCGGUGAGGCCUUCGGACUGGCCCAGGGAGGUCGGCAACGACCACCCAGGGCCGGAAAGUUGGUCAAACCCGGUCAUUUAGAGGAAGUAAAAGUCGUAACAAGG